AUAAGGACUGGAGCCGGGGCUGGGGCCGGGGCUGGGACUGGGACUAGGACUAGGGCUGGGAGUAGGGCUGGGGCUGGCGGUGAGACUGGAGCUGCUGCUGCCCAGGUCCCCCCCCAGGGCUGAGCCAAGGCGGGAAGGGGUCGAGAGGACCCUGAUGGGAAAGGAGCCAAUUGGACAGAGGAAUUGACCUCAGUUAGAAAGAGGGAAUUUGUAACAGGAAAUGAGACUGUCCAUGUGAAAGGAAGGAAUCAGAUAGUAAAUCCAGUGUGGGAGCAGCAACACAGAAGAAAUGGGUUUAUAACACAUAAUAAACUGAUCAAGAGUGUAAAAUAUGAUGUUCUGGGGGGAAAAGGCAUCUCUAGAGAGCAGGGCCCUGACAAUGAAAAGGAAAAAAUCCACAACCCCUCCCCACCAAAGCUCCUGUAUGAUUGAAAGGCACCAGCUCAUAAGUGACCUGGAGCUUGGACUGGGAGUGAGUUUGAUUUGAGAGCCCUUAGUGAGGAUACAGGACCAGUGAUGGGGAGGUCAGGUACUCAUGAGAGAUUUGUAAUAGUGGCAUGAAUGUCUGCCCAGACUCAAGCUACCACAUAUCUAGAAGAAUCUUUAGGCCUUCUUUAGGGAGGAAAGGGACUGGCAUAAAAGUACUUCAGGUGUCUCAUCCAUUAAAGAUAACUUUCAGAGCAUGGCCAGACGAAAUAUCUGCUCCUGAAUCUGCAUGUCAGCAGUUCUGGUGUCUGUGCUGUUGUGAGAGCUUCCUAGGAGAGAAUCAGAACUCACAGGCAUGACUGAAUAAAAACCUAUGAUUCCAGAAAUCAUUGGGGAGCACUGAACCUGAAGGGUGUUGUUGUUUCCAUCCCCUAUCCAGUAACAAGUCUUCAUGGAGUAGAGGAGGUAUGGGCUUGCAUUGGAAACAGAGGAGGGAGAGACAAAAAAUUAAGAACUAAAAACUGUGUGUCAGAAGCCUCAUCUGCUCACAGCAGUUAUGGGGCAAGAACCAGACCAAACCAGACAGAGAAGGAGGAGAGCUCUUCUUCCAUUUCGGUUUCAAGGAAGAGGAUUAAUAUUUGAUAAGAAAAAUCAAUUAGCUCACAAGUAACAUGGAGAUUCUGUCCAUAAUCUAUGGAAACAAUCCUUAAAGAAACCUUUUAAUGCAUAGCAUCCAUGAUGGUUUGGAAGUCUUGGAGCGUGUUUGUUGGAAGCUGGUUAACUCAAGCUUUGCCUUAGGUUCUACCUUGUAAGAAUAUCUAGGAGUUUAUUAUUGUCUCUUGGCUAUAAGGCCUCUUAUGUUUUGUCAAAUCCCAUUCAUCUUAAUUCUUAACUUGAAUUUGUAGGUGCUCAUUCAUUCUGGUUUUUAUUUUAACUAUUACCUAGUUUCUUCACCUAUGCAUCCAUAUAUGUGUCAUCGUAACAUUUUGCCGUGACUGUAAAUCUAUUGCAAAGCUGCAGCACUUUUGUUAUUUCUUAGAGCUCUCAGAAGUCCUGGUUUUAAUCCUCUCAUAAAACCCUAAUUGUUUUGUUUAUACUUUUCAUUGUAAUUUUAAUGUAAGUUUUACAGAAAGCUCCCUGUAAGUAGUAUCAACUCCUCCUGCCCUCGACCUUCUUGUGCCAGUUUUUUUCUGAUUUAUUAGCUUUUAUCUGAAAAGAGGUAGUCUCUCCUGGUACAUGCUCCCUCUUGUUUAUCUGGAUUUUCUAUCACCAAGUUCUCAGUCUCAGGGACUCCUGAAGUGUAGUGAUCAGUCCUUUAACACAUAACUUAUUGAAGCAUGUGUCAUUAUUUGCAGUCUGUUCCCAAGGGAUUGCCUUAUAUGAGAGAAAACAGCGAGACUGGGUUUGUGACAAGUUGUGUUAAAUCUUUUCGAAAAGACCUCUUCAGUCACGAGCAGGGAGGUUACAGUUGUAGUAAGGACAUUUGCAGGCAGGAGAGGGAUUUUAUUUUGUCAGUUGUUAUGCUUCAUUUUGCAAUCAAUUGUGUAUUUCCUCUGAAAAAAAAAAAAAAAAGGAGCAGGAGCAUCAUUAUGUAAUCAUUUAACAUUGUUAUUGUUUAAACCCAGCUGGAAAUAAAGCACCAUGCAGCCAUUUGCUCAGGCCCCCCUCCCUCCCCCUCCUACCCUGGUGGAAUGGGGAGGAGAAUCAAAGUAAAACUUGUA